rnacentral:rRNA from 1 species
GUGUCAGCAGCCGCGGUAAUACGUAGGGCGCAAGCGUUGUCCGGAAUUAUUGGGCGUAAAGAGCUCGUAGGCGGUCUGUCGCGUCUGCUGUGAAAUCCUCAGGCUCAACCUGGGGCUUGCAGUGGGUACGGGCUGACUGGAGUGCGGUAGGGGUGACUGGAAUUCCUGGUGUAGCGGUGGAAUGCGCAGAUAUCAGGAGGAACACCGAUGGCGAAGGCAGGUCACUGGGCCGCAACUGACGCUGAGGAGCGAAAGCAUGGGGAGCGAACAGGAUUAGAUACCCUGGUAGUCCAUGCCGUAAACGUUGGGCACUAGGUGUGGGUCCCAUUCCACGGGUUCCGUGCCGCAGCAAACGCAUUAAGUGCCCCGCCUGGGGAGUACGGCCGCAAGGCUAAA